rnacentral:misc_RNA from 1 species
GAACGCACCUUGCGCCCUUUGGCUAUUCCGAAGGGCAUGCCUGUUUGAGUAUCAUGAACACCUCAACUCUCAUGGUUUGCCAUGAUGAGCUUGGACUUUGGGGGUCUUGCUGGCCUAUGGUCGGCUCCUCUCAAACGAAUCAGCUUACCAGUGUUUGGUGGCGUCACAGGUGUGAUAACUAUCUACGCUUGUGGCUUUCCAUCAGGUAACCUUCAGCGAUGGAGGUUUGCUGGGGGCUCAUAAAUGUCUCUCCUCAGCGAGGACAGCUUUUUUGAACGUUUGAUCUCAAAUCAGGUAGGACUACCCGCUGAACUUA